rnacentral:lncRNA from 1 species
GACAAUGAGAUAAAUGAACAGCAGCAUUAAGUGUUGGGUGCUUAAAAAAGAGAGGUGCUUUAUUGGGGUUCAGAUCUAAUUUAUUACACUUAAUGUCUUACUUUUAAUUUUUUUUUAUUUUUUAUAUAUUUUUUAUCCAUUUUAAAUUUUAUAUUUUUUUAGUUUACUUUUAUGAUUAUUAAUUAAAGUUUAUUUCACCUAAUAAUGAAGGUAUAUAAUUAAUUUUAUUAUUUAAUUUUACUUUUAUUAGAUAAUUA